rnacentral:rRNA from 1 species
AGCGAACGCUGGCGGCAGGCCUAACACAUGCAAGUCGAGCGCCCAGCAAUGGGAGCGGCAGACGGGAUAGUAACACGUGGGAACGUACCUUUCAGUUCGGAACAACCCAGGGAAACUUGGGCUAAUACCGAAUACGUCCGUAAGGAGAAAGAUUUAUCGCUGAAAGAUCGGCCCGCGUCUGAUUAGCUAGUUGGUGAGGUAAUGGCUCACCAAGGCGACGAUCAGUAGCNGGUCUGAGAGGAUGAUCAGCAUCACUGGGACUGAGACACGGCCCAGACUCCUACGGGAGGCAGCAGUGGGGAAUUUUGGACAAUGGGCGCAAGCCUGAUCCAGCCAUGCCGCGUGAGUGAAGAAGGCCU